AUUGAACGCUGGCGGCAUGCCUUACACAUGCAAGUCGAACGGCAGCGGGGACUUCGGUCCGCCGGCGAGUGGCGAACGGGUGAGUAAUGUAUCGGAACGUACCAUUCAGUGGGGGAUAACUAUCCGAAAGGAUAGCUAAUACCGCAUAUUCUGUGAGCAGGAAAGCAGGGGAUCGCAAGACCUUGCGCUGAUUGAGCGGCCGAUAUCAGAUUAGCUAGUUGGUGAGGUAACGGCUCACCAAGGCUGCGAUCUGUAGCGGGUCUGAGAGGAUGAUCCGCCACACUGGGACGGAGACACGGCCCAGACUCCGACGGGAGGCAGCAGUGGGGAAGUUUGGACAAUGGGCGCAAGCCUGAUCCAGCCAUGCCGCGUGCAGGAAGAAGGCCUUCGGGUUGUAAACUGCUUUUGUACGGAACGAAACGGUCUGGGUUAAUACCCUGGGCUAAUGACGGUACCGUAAGAAUAAGCACCGGCUAACUACGUGCCAGCCGCCGCCGUAAGAC
rnacentral:rRNA from 1 species